GGCUACGGCCAUGCUACCCUGAACAAGCCCAAUUCCCUCUGAACUUGGAAGCUAAGCAGGGUUGGGCCUGGUUAGUACUUGGAUGGGAGACCACCUAGGAAGACCAGGUGCUAUAGGCG
rnacentral:rRNA from 1 species